ACAUGUAGUUCUCAAGCAUAAAAGGGCCACAGACGACAAGUCCUAAAGUGCCAGGCCUGCCUCAGCGGGUCAAGCUCAUAGGCUGCCAUCUAGGCAGGGCUGUCCAAUCAAAGCUAAGCUGUUCUGAGGCCUGGGCUUGAAUAAGGCCCAGUGUGCUGAGAGCAGCUUUUGGGGACCAGGAAGGCUGGCGCUGCAACCUAUGAACCCCUGAGCUCAGGGUGCCAGAGUUGCCAGAGUUUUCUGAAUGGGCAGAAAGAGAUGAGGACCAGAUCACUGGUUGGUUACUACUGAGAAGAGGAGAAAGUUGCUGAGAAAUUUUAGCAAAUCCUAAGGAAGGAGCAGGUGUGGCACCUGAGCGCUGUUAAGACGGCUAUGGCUAUUAAACGCAAGUUCAGCACUCUCUCCUGGUACUACUGGCAAUACCAGCUGAUCACGAUGGCUUAUCUCAUGGAUCCUUUCGAAUGGUGGAUCUUCCACAGUUUGCUGCUUGUUUGCAUUAUGGGGUCGGCCUACGUUUUUUAUGCCGUUGUUCCUCCUCAGAUCCGCUUGGUUCUGAAGCUCGUUUAUCAUGUGUUUGGCUUGCAACCAGAAAGCACCAUUCCAGCCAUGAUGUGAACUUACAAUGCACAAUAGUGACUGUCCCCCCCCCUUUUAAGCCAUGUGCUUACAGAGACAUUCUGGGAUUUAUAAAAGCAACAUUAUUAUUAUUAUUAUUAUUAUUAUUAUUAUUAUUAUUAUUGCAAAGAAGCCUCAGGGAAGUCACAAUAGUUGCAUCCUUAUUCACCUUAUAUCACCUAUAGAGUCUCUGCAUGUAUCAAGCAGGUUGGUGGGUGAAAUGUCAUGUAAUAUUUUAUUUUUUUAACUUAUCCAGAGAGGUUUGCUCCUGGGAUUUUCUUCAGCUGUAAUUGCUUCCCUUCAUGUUCAUUGUUUCUUACCAGAAUUAAAUCUCGCGACGUGCUUGUUUUCAUUCAAAUUUUAUUCCAAUUCAUUAUGUACCACUAUUCUGUGAGAAACUAUAAAAUGUGAAUAAAACACGGA